rnacentral:rRNA from 1 species
ACUCAAAGGAAUUGACGGGGACCCGCACAAACGGUGGAGCAUGUGGUUCAAUACGACGAUACGCGUGGAACCUUACCCAGACUUGACAUGUACUAGAAAUCCUUAUGAAAGUAGGGACCCUUCGCAAGAAGCUGGUACACAGGUGUUGCAUGGCUGUCGUCAGCUCGUGUCGUGAGAUGUUGGGUUAAGUCCCGCAACGAGCGCAACCCCCAUCCUUAGUUGCCAAGUAUGCCUUCGGGCGUAACGCACUCUAAGGAGACUGCCGCUGAUAAAGCGGAGGAAGGUGGGGAUGACGUCAAGUCAGUACGGCCCUUACGUCUGGGGCUACACACGUGCUACAAUGGCCGGUACAAAAGGUUGCGAUACCGCGAGGUGGAGCUAAUCCCUAAAGCCGGUCCCAGUUCGGAUUGCAGGCUGCAAUUCGCCUACAUGAAGCUGGAAUCGUUAGUAACCCUAUAUCAGCCACGAUAGGGUGAAUACGUUCCCGGGUCUUGUACACACCGCCCGU